CUCGUACACACCGCCCGUCACACCAUGGGAGUUGAUUGCACCAGAAGUAGGUAGCCUAACCGCAAGGGGGGCGUUUACCACGGUGUGGUCAAUGACUGGGGUG
rnacentral:rRNA from 1 species